UACAGAGGGGGCAAGCGUUAUUCGGAAUUAUUGGGCGUAAAGGGCGCGUAGGCGGCUUGGCAAGUGGAAGGGGAAAUCCCCAGGCUCAACCUGGGAACUGCAUUCGAGACUGCAUUGCUAGAGUAUGGGAGAGGGAAGUGGAAUUUCCGGUGUAGCGGUGAAAUGCGUAGAUAUCGGAAGGAACAUCAGUGGCGAAAGCGGCUCACUGGACCAUUACUGACGCUGAUGCACGAAAGCUAGGGGAGCAAACAGG
rnacentral:rRNA from 1 species